rnacentral:rRNA from 1 species
CUGCAAGUCGAGCGAAUGAUGAAGAAGCUUGCUUCUUCUGAUUUAGCGGCGGACGGGUGAGUAACACGUGGGCAACCUACCUAGUAGAUUGGGAUAACUCCGGGAAACCGGGGCUAAUACCGAAUAAUCCAUUUUGUCACAUGGCAAAAUGCUGAAAGGCGGUUUCGGCUGUCACUACUAGAUGGGCCCGCGGUGCAUUAGCUAGUUGGUGGGGUAAUGGCCUACCAAGGCAACGAUGCAUAGCCGACCUGAGAGGGUGAUCGGCCACAUUGGGACUGAGACACGGCCCAAACUCCUACGGGAGGCAGCAGUAGGGAAUCUUCCACAAUGGACGAAAGUCUGAUGGAGCAACGCCGCGUGAGUGAUGAAGGUUUUCGGAUCGUAAAACUCUGUUGUAAGGGAAGAACAAGUACGUUAGUAACUGAACGUACCUUGACGGUACCUUAUUAGAAAGCCACGGCUAACUACGUGCCAGCAGCCGCGGUAAUACGUAGGUGGCAAGCGUUGUCCGGAUUUAUUGGGCGUAAAGCGCGCGCAGGUGGUUUCUUAAGUCUGAUGUGAAAGCCCACGGCUCAACCGUGGAGGGUCAUUGGAAACUGGGAGACUUGAGUGCAGAAGAGGAAAGUGGAAUUCCAAGUGUAGCGGUGAAAUGCGUAGAGAUUUGGAGGAACACCAGUGGCGAAGGCGACUUUCUGGUCUGUAACUGACACUGAGGCGCGAAAGCGUGGGGAGCAAACAGGAUUAGAUACCCUGGUAGUCCACGCCGUAAACGAUGAGUGCUAAGUGUUAGGGGGUUUCCGCCCCUUAGUGCUGCAGCUAACGCAUUAAGCACUCCGCCUGGGGAG